ACUGAGUGACCCCCGAGCCCAGGGCGUCUGUCUGAGAAACCUCCUGCGAACAGCUACAGAGGAAAUUUUCAGGUGCAAGACAUCUGCAGAAAGUUCUGGAACCCGUGCCUGGACCGGUUUGGACCUUCAGUGGAAACACAUGAAAGAGAAGGAAAACUAGCUGGGGAAGGAUCCCAGCAGCGGCGGCUCAGGCUGCUGGGCGGAGUCCCCAUUUUUCACCCCCCGUUUUCCCAGACCAACAGCUGGGAGCGCCUGUGCCGCCCACUGUGCCCUGAGAUCUGCAUAGCACAGCAACUCACAGAUGCCUAUUGCUGUCCUGCCACAGCACAAGGUUUGUCAGGCCAGACAGCCACGCACAGGCCCCGGCUCCUGGCUUCUGCCAUCUUUUCUGUUCCUGUAACUCCAGCCUGGAGCCUCCCACUCCUUCAAAAGCUGCAGGAAGAGGCCUGCAGGCAAGAGAAGGGGACUACAGGAGUGAGCAGUUUAAGAAAUGGAAGGCCGAGGUUUUCCAAUCUAAUUAACAGCAUGACAAGCCAGGACCGGCUGCUGACCCACAUGGAGCCUUGCACAGCCAGAAACGCAGUGUCCUGCUCUGCUCCUGAGACACUGGGGCUGUCACUACAGCACAGCCCCAGACGCUUCCACACGGGCAGACUCUGGCUCUCCAGGCACGGCGGCGCCCUCUCCUCCCCUUCCCAGCUCUCCUAAGGCCUGUGGUUCUGGAAUUCUCUGCUCUGUGCAAGCAUGACUGCGGCCCUCCUCCCGCGUCCAGCCGCACCAGGCCCUGGGAUCCCAGACGGGCUUCCCCUUCACAAGGGGCUCAAAGCAAGCACCUAUGGGGGUGGGGGCAGCAAAGCCGUCUGGCCGAGGUCCCUUCUCUAGCGUGCCUGUCUGUCCGUCUGUCCUUGAGGAGCCUUAAGAGUGCAGGGCGGGACAGGCAGGCACCAGCUGACACAGUACCGGGCAGGGACCAGUGCAGGAGCUCGAGGCAGGGCUGGGUGGGGUGGGGGUGGCCAGAGUCUCCUGGCUGGCAGCAGAUGCGGGUGAGUGGCACAGACUGUCCUCAUGCCCUCCUGGGAGAGAGGCAGGAAUCUGUGACCAGGACAGACAGAGUCAGGACUGGGAGAGGCAGAGCAGGUGCCUGAGCUUGGCCAUGCACAGCUUCCAGCGAGGCUGGGUCAUCCACGGCUCCCCGAGGUUCCGCGCCACCGCUCGCCGCACCCCAGCACAGCCGAGAGCUGUGGUUUCUCCUCCCGUGGAGUCCCGCGUGGCUACCCACUCCAGGUCCAGCCCAAGGACACCGCCUUCUCCAGGCUGCCUUCCCCACACACGCCACACCUCCAGCCCCAGAAGGUUCUGAGGAGGGGAGGAGCUGGGGCCCCCACUCGCCUUCCUGUUGCCAGGAUACAGGCCCAGGAAAAAAUGCCACAGCGCUGGAUUAAUGUCUAGACAGCGUGACCUUUCCCCUGGUUCUCUAGAUAUAAUUGGGACCCAAAUUGUCCGGUGUCAUGAGCUGACAGCAGGGAUGAAGGAGGGGGCUGUUCUCGGUGCCCCAAGGGGACUCUGGGAGAGGGAGAGGGCCACCCACUACCUGCGUGGGGGCUGCAUGGGGACAAGCCAGGGUCACCCACAAAGGCGCUUUCUGUUGAGGGGACGUCACCUCUUCCAUCAGCGAUGACACAGCUCUGAGAUCUCAGUGUCCUCGCAAUGGCUCCCAUUAACUCCCUGCUGCCCGUCCUGCCAGGCUGGUGCCACGAGACCCUCGGGGCUGGGCCAUGGGACAGGUGCCUGCCCAGCCCUGCAAACGCAUCCAGCAGGCGUCGAGGGCUGCCAGGCACAGAGACUCCUACUGCCAGCAGCGCACAGCACCAGCUACGACAGCAACGCCUCUGCCAGGAGACGCAGAGGAGACCAGCCCUGACGCUCCUGUCCCAGGGGGGCUGCUGCACACUCAGGCAGAAUGAGGGGUCCUGAGGGGGACCCUCGGCCUACCCACGGCUCCCGGGGCAGGUGACUGGUCUGGUCCUGGUGUUUAUCUCAACCUCGUUGUUCAGAAGCUGCUUUUUAUUAUUUGUGACCAUAAAAGGAUGUAAACAAAUUUGUUUUGAGUCAAAAGUACCUGGGUCCACCGGGCAACAGAGCAGGGACGCAGCCUCAAUGUGGAAUCAACAAGCCAAGGUUGUGAGAAGAUUCUCAGGAGUGGGGUUCAGGGAGGGAGAACUGAGGGCUGGGGUUUCGGGGGGCAUUUUACUUUUUAUUCCAGGCAGUGCUAUAUUGGCUGGGAUCUCAAAUGCUGAAUAAUGCUCCCGUUGGACUUCAGUAAUUUUAAAAAAUAGAACUGUUUA